rnacentral:rRNA from 1 species
ACGGAAGGCAGCAGUGGGGAAUAUUGCACAAUGGGGGAAACCCUGAUGCAGCGACGCCGCGUGAGUGAUGAAGUAUUUCGGUAUGUAAAGCUCUAUCAGCAGGGAAGAAAAUGACGGUACCUGACUAAGAAGCACCGGCUAAAUACGUGCCAGCAGCCGCGGUAAUACGUAUGGUGCAAGCGUUAUCCGGAUUUACUGGGUGUAAAGGGAGCGCAGGCGGUACGGCAAGUCUGAUGUGAAAGCCCGGGGCUCAACCCCGGUACUGCAUCGGAAACUGUCGAACUAGAGUGUCGGAGGGGUAAGUGGAAUUCCUAGUGUAGCGGUGAAAUGCGCAGAUAUUAGGAGGAACACCAGUGGCGAAGGCGGCUUACUGGACGAUCACUGACGCUGAGGCUCGAAAGCGUGGGGAGCAAACAGGAUUAGAUACCCUGGUA